GCUUGGAAGCAGCCAUUCAUUUAAAGAGUGCGUAACAGCUCACUAGUCGAGGAGUCGGGCGUGGAUAAUAAUCGGGUAUCAAGUUGUCUACCGAAGCAGUGGGAUCAUUAAUAUGAUCGGUAGGGGAGCAUUCCAGUCAGCGUCGAAGGCGUACCGUGAGGUAUUCUGGAGCGUCUGGAAAAGCAAAUGUAGGUAUAAGUAACGAUAAAGGGGGCGGGAAACCCCCUCGCCGAAAGACUAAGGUUUCCUGAUCAACGCUAAUCGGAUCAGGGUCAGUCGGGUCCUAAGGCUCAGCCGAACGGCGAUGCCGAUGGCAGAAACGGUUAAUAUUCCGUUACUACCUUCAGGAGUGACGUGGAGACGCAGUAGUGACAGUGCCGCCAUCUGACGGAAUAGAUGGUUGAAGGGUGUAGGAGUCGAUCAUGGCAGGCAAAUCCACCAUGAGAUCCGAACCUGACAGUAUGCCGCGUCCUUCGGGACAAGGCAAUAGUGCGCGUAAGCAUGCUGCCGAGAAAAUCCGCUAAACUUAAUCCUGCAGGUACCCGUACCGCAAACGGACACACGUAGUCGGGUUGAAUAUACUAAGGCGCUUGAGUGAUUCACGGUUAAGGAACUAGGCAAACUGACCCUGUAACUUCGGGAUAAAGGGUCCCUACCCUUUUAUGGGAGGGCGCAGAGAAUCGGUCCAGGCAACUGUUUAACAAAAACACAGGGCUGUGCCAAAUCGAAAGAUCCAGUAUACAGCCUGACACCUGCCCGGUGCUGGAAGGUUAAGAGGAGAUGUCAUCGAUAAGAGAAGCGUUGAAUUGAAGCCCCAGUAAACGGCGGCCGUAACUAUAACGGUCCUAAGGUAGCGAAAUUCCUUGUCGGGUAAGUUCCGACCUGCACGAAUGGUGUAAUGAUCUGGACACUGUCUCAACCGUGAGCUCAGUGAAAUUGUAGUAUCGGUGAAGAUGCCGAUUACCCGCGAUGGGACGAAAAGACCCCGUGAACCUUUACUAUAGCUUAUCAUUGAAUUUGGGCACGUGAUGUGUAGGAUAGGUCGGAGGCUUUGAAGCAGGUACGCCAGUAUUUGUGGAGCCGCUGUUGAAAUACGACCCUUUAUUUGUUUGGAUUCUAACCCGUGGAUACGGGGACAUUGAUUGGUGGGUAGUUUGACUGGGGUGGUCGCCUCCAAAAGCGUAACGGAGGCUUCUAAAGGUGCCCUCCGGCCGAUUGGUAACCGGCCUUAGAGUGUAAUGGCAUAAGGGCGCUUGACUGGGAGACUAACAAGUCGAUCAGGUAGGAAACUAGAGCAUAGUGAUCCGGUGUUUCCGUAUGGAAGGGACAUCGC
rnacentral:rRNA from 1 species